UACGUAGGGGGCAAGCGUUAUCCGGAUUUACUGGGUGUAAAGGGAGCGUAGACGGCACGGCAAGCCAGAUGUGAAAGCCCGGGGCUCAACCCCGGGACUGCAUUUGGAACUGUUGGGCUAGAGUGUCGGAGAGGCAAGUGGAAUUCCUAGUGUAGCGGUGAAAUGCGUAGAUAUUAGGAGGAACACCAGUGGCGAAGGCGGCUUGCUGGACGAUGACUGACGUUGAGGCUCGAAAGCGUGGGGAGCAAACAGG
rnacentral:rRNA from 1 species